UGCCACACAUAUAACAAUUCGAUCACACCCAAUCUGUCGUUACAUCAAAUUGGACUUUUCAUCAUUAUUUCAUCGUUACAUAAUGCUUACAAUGUAAUAAAAUUUAGUAAAAAUCAAAACAAACACUGUAUUUAAACUAACAACACAAUACAAUAGGUAACAACCAUCCAAAGAAGCUAUUAGUAUUUUGACAACACUGAGUUUAAGAUCUCGCUUUAAAGGAAAAGUUUUUGUCACAGCUAAAUUAGUGAUUGCUCUAUGAACUUAGAUUAAGAUUUUGUUUGUCCAAAAAGAAACAGAUAGAAUAAAUUCAAAUAGCACUCCAGGUAUUGUUUAACGUGUUGUCUCUAUGUAAUGUUUUCUUGGAUUUCUGAUUAUAGCUUAGUUAGAUGUUUAACAAUCAUUUAAUUAUGAUUUACUUGAUUCAGGAAUUUAUGAGUUGAACACUUUAUGGUACUUGUGAUGAUUAUUUUGCUCCAAUUGUGACUCAUUUAAUUGUGUGGAAAAAUAACUGGCUAGAAAUUGUUGCUUGUUCAGUUUAUCUGCUAAAUAGUUUCAUAUUUUUGAAGUGAAUAAUGCCAUAUCUUUUGCUCUUAACUCAAAACUAGGUUGCUCUUAAUGGCUAACUUACCGAUGGUUUGUUGAAGGGAAAACUAGAUUGCUCAGUGUUCUUUGUUGUCACUAUGGAAUUAGUUUAGAAAUGAUUGCAAAUUCCAAACCAAGAUUUUUUUAAGCUUAUUUUAAUGAUACUCAUUUUGCAGAAUACCAGUAUAAUGAUGUUCAUUGUAUUACUUUUGUGUUCAUCAUUCUUUUUUGAUGGUUGACAAAUGAUUCGUAGGAGGGGGUGGUAUUAUAGUUAUUCCAUCCCACUUCUUCUAUACGUAAGAUAGUCCUUUCCCCUUCUUUGAUUUUGUUGCCAAUGUUUUCUCAAAUCUCGUAAUCUCUUGGUACUUCCUUAAAAGGGUCCAUGUUGACAAUUAUCUUUUCAUAUCUUUUCUAGGUGAUGGGUGUCUGGCAGAUGUGUAAUUCUUUUCUUUAGAAUUGUUUUACGAGUUGUGCUGUAACUUACAACGGUGUCUAUUUUAACAGGACCUAAUUUGAAUGGACUUUUUGGAAGGCAGUUCGGAACUACUGCUGGUUACUCCUACUCUGCUGCCAAUAAGAACAUGGCCGUGAAUUGGGGAGAAAACACUUUGUAUGAUUAUCUGCUCAACCCCAAGAAGUACAUACCUGGAACAAAGAUGGUUUUCCCCGGAUUGAAGAAGCCACAUGAGCGCGCUGACCUCAUUGCCUACCUGAAAUCUGCUACUGCAUGAGGAACCAUUGACACACAUUUUCCAUUUUGUAGUCUGAUAGGUGGCAUGUUUUGCUAUGCGGAAGAAGAUAAACCAUUGAUUUAACAAAUAAAUAAAUAAUAAGUAGACCUCUUAUGGUCUGACUCAUUUGUUUCCCAGAAAACUGGGUCAUAGUAAAUUUUUUUGUUACCUGUUGGAGAAGAGGUAAAAAACUCUUGGCAGACAAGGCCAACUUUAAUAUCAUAAUUCUCUCAAGAUUAUGUUU